rnacentral:tRNA from 1 species
GUUCUUGUAGUUAAAGUCCUAUAACGGCGGUUUUUCAGGCCGCAGGUCCUGGGGAAGGGCCAGGCGAGAAUU